rfam:Amborella trichopoda AMTR_V1.0_contig_7766, whole genome shotgun sequence.
CUCACACCUAUGUGUGUAGGACCUCAAAGGAUCACCAUUAAAUUUGACACAGAUCUCUAGAAAAGUUAUCACAUGGGUGUGAGACUUGACUUUUCUAGAGAUCUAUGUCAAAUUUAAUGGUAAUCCUUUGGGGUCCUACACACAUGGGUGUGGA